UGUCAGGGGUUCAGGAGCAGAGGCACAGGAAAGGGAGGAAAUAGAGAGCGAGGGGAGGAGUCCGAAGGAAAUGUUAGCGAUGACAGCGGUCCGAGGUCUCUGAGUCUUUCCAGCGAAUCGGAAGAUUCACAGAAAGGGGCUCCCUUGGUCAGAGCAAGGGGGGGUGCCGAGGGGGACACCCCAGGAAGAAGGGGCCAGAGGGGACUCAGAGAGCAGCAGUUGGAAAUCAGGACCAGCGUCCACACCAGAGUGCAGUAGGGGGGAGGGGUCCCAGGCAUCGGGAUCAGGCGGCGCACUGCCAGUGGGAGGACAUGAGUCAGGAUUGGCCACGCCUCCAUCGGGGAGCGAGGAAACGGUCGAGAGGAAGGUUGAAGGCUGGGCGCGCGCGCCAAGUUCAAAUGUACAGGAGGGCGGCGCAGUUGGCAGCCCGGAUAGGGAGCCAGGUCCCAAAGCCCGCCGAAAAGAGGGGGAGGAGUCAGGGGGGUCAACGUCAGCGUCAGAAGAAUCCAGGAAGGAAGGGACCCCGGGGGGUAGCAGGACCCAGAGGAGAAAGGAGAGACGUAAGAGGUGGAGUAAGGCUAGAAUCUUAAACUGGUGUACAGGAGGCGGAGACUCAGAUGGAGCUUCGCCGAUCUAACCCCUAGACGUAGAGCUGGGGCGCUGCGGCUUGAAAAUGGAAACUGUACUUCAAUAAAGACUUUUGUACAUUACUGCCGGCUAGCGUUGGUCCUCUGUGAGCUGGGACCUGGAGCCAGCUCUGACAGC
rnacentral:lncRNA from 1 species